AGUCGUUCUACUAUGGCAUGGUGGAAAACGCGGGUAUGGGCAGCGGGUACCUAUAGGGGCUUCAUAUAGGGUAUUUAUAGGGGCUUCGGUGGCCAAGUGGUUAGCGCACUUGCCUUUCACCUCUGAGGCUGCAGGUUGGAGUCUCACUAAGUACCUUCUCAGUGCGACUCGAACCCAGUCCCCAUGUGAAAAGAGUAAAAGUCGACGCUCUGCCGAAAGCCGUGGGUUUUCCCCGGGUACUCCGGUUUCCUCCCACAGGGAAAGUUGACAGGGUGGGUUAGGUAAGAAAAGGGCCCACAGUAAUUGGCAUAUGCUGUUGUAGUGACCCUGCCCUAGUUGGCAAAGCUAAAUAAAUAAAUACCUGGUAGCGGG